CUGCGUGUGAUGAAAGACAAUGAGGAGAGGAAUUUUUUUUUUGAGGUGGUACUUGGUGAAAAAGAUUUGAGAACCACUGAUGUAGACCAUAUGUGCUUUUGCUUUUGGAUUUUACAAGCAAGCAAGUUUUUAAUCAAUAAAAAUGAUUUUAAACAACUUGACUAAACUAAUUGACUUUACCUUGAAUAAUUAUACCUUCAUUUUUAAAAUAGCAAAAACAGAUCACACUUCACUUCACUUCAGUGAAAUAUUGGACCAGAUGUUCCAGAAAGGGGAUGGGAAAACUCUGCCUGCUGAAGUGGACUCUGUCCAACGUUAAAGUACACUGCAUAAUUUGUGUGGCAGAGAAAACCCAUCACCAUCUCCAGCAAUUCUCAGAAAUUGAUGUUUGCCUUAAACUACUUCUUGAACAUUUCAUACCCAGGAGUGCAAAGUGCAAGGCUAGAGUUUGUGCAAAGGUUUCUUUUAAAAUGGAACCUAGAGAAGGAUCAUAAGUAGAGAAGACCAGAGGAAUCAGAGAAGAAUCGGAAGUGGAGAAGACCAGAUCAAGGAAGACCACAUUAAGAUCUGCGGAGGAAACCGGAGAGCUCGAGGAAAACCCACACAAACAUGGAGAGAGCAUGCAAACUCCACACAGAAAUGCCGGCUUGGCCAGGUAAGAUCUGAGCCAGUGAGAUUCUUGCUGUGAGGCAAUAAUGCUAACCAUUGGGCCUCCGUGCU